CAAAGUGCACCCAUACGCGUGAGUUUUACGUCAUCCCGGCUAAAGCGAGCUCCUUAUUGGCCAAAUAUUACGUAAUACAAGCGCGUGCGAGUAAAACCCGAUACCUUGAAAAAUUCAAAAUAAAUAUUUCUACUCGCCGUAUUCAUACGAAACUUUCUACACGAAAGCGCCUGAAUACAAAGAGUAUUUUACACAUAUAGCCUUCCAAAAAAUGACGAAAAGUUUAGAAGAUAUUCAAGUUUUUAUGUUUUUUCUCGUUUGAAUGUUUGGCGAAGCGGUGAGUAUAAAUAUAUGAUUGUUUCGGUUUGUGUAAUGUUUUGAUGGCACUUGACCCCCCGUUCGAAAGGUUAUUUUGUGAGGAUUUCAAUGGUGGCAUUUAUUUAAAAGGGGGGUAAAUACUCGCCGAGAUAUUUAUUUUUGAAAAAUUGAGUCGUAAUGUAAUGCGAAACCGGCUUGACGAGAAAGAGUUAAAUGUGUCUCAAUGUUGACUUUUUGUCCAUUUUGACGUAAAGCAACAAAAAACAACAAAAAAGCAAGGCUAUUUUGAUUGACGAUUUAUCAAUGCUAGCUUUUGAAAAAAAAAGAAAGAAAUUAAAGAAAUCACUUCAACAGAAGAACAAAGUGAUUUAAGGUUACAGGACACCCUUUUGCCAGUUUUGCGGAAAAUCGCUACUGCACGCUCAGUAUCAAUCCAAUUUUCGUCAAAUUUUCACCAAAUGUUCUCCAGUGCAUGCAAAAUAUGGUAAAGUUGUAAAAUUAACAAACAAUAAAAUAAUGUAAGAAUUAUUUAGGAAAAUCUUAAAUCGCGGUACCAUUACGCUUUUGAGUUGUGCUCCUGCUGGUUUUAAGUUAUAUUUAUGAAAAUAUCAUUUUUAUACAGCAAAAUAGUUGUUCUAAAAAAUUGUGUUCGGAAAUUUUUGUUUAUUUCGUCAUUCCGCUGAUAUGGCGAUUUCUUUGACGACUUGAAUAUAUUUCUGAAUUGUUUGAGUGAAUUGCUCUUUAUUUUUAAAAUAUCCAAAAUUUAAAAAAAGCCGACCAUAAUUUUCAAACUGACGUCUUUAGCUAUGUCCUGUGAAAAUUUGAGAAAAAUUGGUUAAAACCCGCAGGAGCACAACUCGUUUGAAAAUCAGUAAUUACCGUAAACUUUUUCGGGAGAAAAUUGAAUUUGAAUAUUACAUUUUCAAUGUUUUUCUUAUUCCAGCGAAAUGUAUUUUAUUAAAUAACUCUGCGAGUUUUCAACAUUUUUCGUUCAAACUAGGUCAGAUAGUAGAACUAGUCUAAUGCUUUCAUGGAAACCAAUAAAAAAAUUUUAGGCAAAAUUAACACUCAAAGGUGUUCUGUAACCUUAAAACGAAAAACUAAAAAAAAAAAGAAAUUGAAGAAAUCACUUCAAUGGAAGAACGAACUUUAAAACGAACGACUACAAUGCUUGAAACAGAUAAGACGAAAGACUGAGCAGAAACAGCAAAUAAGUAAGGUUAUUGGCUUAACUUUUCAUCGAUUUUAACAACUUUUUUUUGUAAAGGGGCAAAAACCAGCAAAAAAGUAAUUAAAAAGGUCAAACAACAGCAAAACGCGAUUUUUACGACAUUUUUCAUUUUACGUAAAGAGACAAAAAGGAGAAAAAAGGUAAGGCUAUAUAUACCCUUUACUUUUCGUCCAUUUUUGGCGACUUUUUUCAUUUUUCAUAAGUGGGCAUAAAACAGCAAAAAAGUAAGGCUAUAGCCUUCGUCCAUUUUUGGCGACUUUUUUCAUUUUUCAUAAGUGGGCAAAAAACAGCAAAAAAUUAAAGGCUAUACACUUUACUUUUCGUCCAUUUUUGGCGACUUUUUUCAUUUUUCAUAAGUGGUAAGGCUAUAGCCUUCGUCCAUUUUUAGCGACUUUUUUCAUUUUUCAUAAGUGGGUAAAAAACAGCAAAAAAGUAAGGCUAUACCCUUAACUUUUCGUCCAUUUUUGGUGACUUUUUCAUUUUUCAUAGUUGGGAAAAAACAGCAAAAAAGUAAGGCUAUAGCCUUCGUCCAUUUUUGGCGACUUUUUUCAUUUUUCAUAAGUGGGCAAAAAAACAGCAAGAAAGUAAGGCUAUACCCUUUACUUUUCGUCCAUUUUUGGCGACUUUUUUCAUUUUUCAUAAGUGGGAAAAAAACAGCAAGAAAGUAAGGCUAUACCCUUAACUUUUCGUCCAUUUUUGGCGACUUUUUUCAUUUUUCAUAAGUGGGAAAAAAACAGCAAGAAAGUAAGGCUAUACCCUUAACUUUUCGUCCAUUUUUGGCGACUUUUUUCAUUUUUCAUAAGUGGGCAAAAAACAGCAAAAAAGUAAGGCUAUACCCUUAACUUUUCGUCCAUUUUUGGCGACAUUUUUCAUAAGUGGGCAAAAAACAGCAAAAAAGUAAGGCUAUACCCUUUACUUUUCGUCCAUUUUUAGCGACUCUUUUCAUUUUUCAUAAGUGGGCAAAAAACAGCAAAAAAGUAAGGCUAUACCCUUAACUUUUCGUCCAUUUUUGGCGACUUUUUUCAUUUUUCAUAAGUGGGCAAAAAACAGCAAAAAAGUAAGGCUAUAUAGCCUUCGUCCAUUUUUGGCGACUUUUUUCAUUUUUCAUAAGUGGGCAAAAAACAGCAAAAAAGUAAGGCUAUAUCCUUAACUUUUCGUCCAUUUUUGGCGACUUUUUUCAUUUUUCAUAAGUGGGCAAAAAACAGCAAAAAAGUAAGGCUAUACCCUUUACUUUUCGUCCAUUUUCGGCGACUUUUUUCAUUUUUCAUAAGUGGGAAAAAACCAGCAAGAAAGUAAGGCUAUACCCUUUACUUUUCGUCCAUUUUUGGCGACUUUUUUCAUUUUUCAUAAGUGGGAAAAAAACAGCAAAAAAGUAAGGCUAUACCCUUUACUUUUCGUCCAUUUUUAGCGACUUUUUUCAUUUUUCAUAAGUGGGCAAAAAAACAGCAAAAAAGUAAG